rnacentral:rRNA from 1 species
CAGAGGGGGAUAACGUUUGGAAACGAACGCUAAUACCGCAUGAUAUUAUUGAGCUGCAUGGCUUGAUAAUCAAAGGAGCAAUCCGCUGAAAGAUGGGCUCACGUCCGAUUAGGUAGUUGGCGGGGCAACGGCCCACCAAGCCGACGAUCGGUAGCCGGACUGAGAGGUUGAACGGCCACAUUGGGACUGAGACACGGCCCAGACUCCUACGGGAGGCAGCAGUGAGGGAUAUUGGUCAAUGGGGGAAACCCUGAACCAGCAACGCCGCGUGAGGGAAGACGGUUUUCGGAUUGUAAACCUCUGUCCUCUGUGAAGAUGAUGACGGUAGCAGAGGAGGAAGCUCCGGCUAACUACGUGCCAGCAGCCGCGGUAAUACGUAGGGAGCAAGCGUUGUCCGGAUUUACUGGGUGUAAAGGGUGCGUAGGCGGCUUUGCAAGUCAGAAGUGAAAUCCAUGGGCUUAACCCAUGAACUGCUUUUGAAACUGCAGAGCUUGAGUGGAGUAGAGGUAGGCGGAAUUCCCGGUGUAGCGGUGAAAUGCGUAGAGAUCGGGAGGAACACCAGUGGCGAAGGCGGCCUGCUGGGCUCUAACUGACGCUGAGGCACGAAAGCGUGGGUAGCAAACAGGAUUAGAUACCCUGGUAGUCCACGCUGUAAACGAUGAUUACUAGGUGUGGGUGGACUGACCCCAUCCGUGCCGGAGU